AGUCGAGCAAAUAAGAGCGUACGGUGGAUGCCUUGGCAUCAAGGGCCGAAGAAGGGCGCGGCAAGACUGCGAUAAGCCCCGGUCAGCUGUCUAGUAAGCUUAGCCGGGGGUUCCCGAAUGGGGAAACCCACUCAGGCAAACCCUGAGUACCCCCAACUGAACACAUAGGUUGGGUGGAGGUAAGUGGGGGAAGUGAAACAUCUCAGUACCCCGAGGAAAAGAAAUUAUUCUCCUAGUAGUGGCGAACGAACGGGGAAAAGCCCAAACCUUUUAAGCCUAACGGUUUUAAGACCUAUGCUUAAGAGGGGUUGUAAGGCAAGAUCUGGUUCAGCUUAAAAUGAGCCGGGAAGUUACAAACCAAACUCUAACCGAAGGUCUCUGGAAAGAGCCACCGCAGAGGGUGAUAGUCCUGUAGGUGAAAGAGGGAGGCUUCCUAAUCUUGUUCUUGAGUACCACGGGACACGAGAAAUCUUGUGGGAAUCUGCCCAGACCACUGGGUAAGGCUAAAUACCCUUGAUGACCGAUAGUGUACCAGUACCGUGAGGGAAAGGUGAAAAGUACCCCGAGAGGGGAGUGAAAUAGACCUGAAACCGUAUGCUUACAAGCUGUCAGAGGAGCCUUGUGCUCUAAUGGCGUGCCUAUUGAAGAAUGAGCCGACGAGUUAAUUUAUGUAGCCGGUUAAGUAAUUAAGUUACGGAGCCAAAGCGAAAGCGAGUCUGAAUAGGGCGAAUAUGGUUGUAUGGAUUAGACCCGAAGCCGGGUGAGCUACCCAUGGCCAGGGUGAAGCUCCGAUAAUCUCGGAGUGGAGGCCCGAACCGGUCAACGUUGCAAAGUUGUCGGAUGAGCUGUGGGUAGAGGUGAAAUGCCAAGCGAACCCGGGAAUAGCUGGUUCUCCCCGAAAUGCAUUUAGGUGCAGCCUCAGGUGUUAGCUAAUGGAGGUAGGGCACUGGAUGGACUCGGCGGGAGAGAUCCUGCCAAAUCUAACCAAACCACGAAUGCCAUUAGCCUAGAGCCUGGGAGUGAGACUGCGGGGGAUAAGCUCCGUAGUCGAAAGGGAAACAGCCCAGACCAUCAGCUAAGGUCCCCAAGAGUAUACUAAGUGGCAAAGGAAGUAGAAAUGUGCAGACAGCCAGGAGGUUGGCUUAGAAGCAGCCACCCUUUAAAGAGUGCGUAAUAGCUCACUGGUUGAAUGAUUCUGCGCCGAUAAUUUAGCGGGGCUAAGUAUACCACCGAAGCUAUGGCUUUCCGAUUUUUAUCGGGAGGGGUAGGGGAGCGUCCCACAAGCGUCGAAGGUGAACUGUAAGGUUUGCUGGAGCUGGUGGAAGUGAGAAUGUCGGCAUGAGUAACGUAAGAUAUGUGAGAAACAUAUCCACCGAAUACCUAAGGUUUCCUACGGAAGGUUAAUCCGCGUAGGGUUAGUCGGGCCUAAGCCG
rnacentral:rRNA from 1 species